rnacentral:rRNA from 1 species
UACGUAGGGGGCAAGCGUUGUCCGGAAUUAUUGGGCGUAAAGAGCUCGUAGGCGGCUUGUCGCGUCGGAUGUGAAAGCCCGGGGCUUAACUCCGGGUCUGCAUUCGAUACGGGCAGGCUAGAGUUCGGUAGGGGAGAUCGGAAUUCCUGGUGUAGCGGUGAAAUGCGCAGAUAUCAGGAGGAACACCGGUGGCGAAGGCGGCCUUCUGGUCGGAUACUGACGCUAAAACGCGAAAGCGUGGGGAGCAA